rnacentral:rRNA from 1 species
AGAGCGAACGCUGGCGGCAGGCCUAACACAUGCAAGUCGAGCGCCCGUAGCAAUACGGGAGCGGCAGACGGGAUAGUAACACGUGGGAACGCGCCCUUCGGUUCGGAAUAACUCAGGGAAACUUGAGCUAAUACCGGAUACGCCCUUACGGGGAAAGAUUUAUUGCCGAAGGAACGGCCCGCGUCCGAUUAGCUAGUUGGUGAGGUAAUGGCUCACCAAGGCGACGAUCGGUAGCUGGUCUGAGAGGAUGACCAGCAUCACUGGGACUGAGACACGGCCCAGACUCCUACGGGAGGCAGCAGUGGGGAAUAUUGGACAAUGGGCGCAAGCCUGAUCCAGCCAUGCCGCGUGGAUGAUGAAGGCCUUAGGGUUGUAAAGUCCUUUUAACGGGGAAGUAUAAUGACGGUACCCGUAGAAUAAGCCCGGCUAACUUCGCGCCAGCAGCCGC